rnacentral:rRNA from 1 species
AGGACGAACGCUGGCGGCGUGCUUAACACAUGCAAGUCGAACGAUGAACUCACCUUCGGGUGGGGGAUUAGUGGCGAACGGGUGAGUAACACGUGGGCAACCUACCCUUGACUCUGGGAUAACUCCGGGAAACCGGAGCUAAUACCGGAUAUGAACACUGAGGACAUCCUCGGUGUUGGAAAGUUUUUUCGGUCAGGGAUGGGCCCGCGGCCUAUCAGCUUGUUGGUGGGGUAAUGGCCCACCAAGGCGACGACGGGUA